rnacentral:rRNA from 1 species
CAUAAUCUCUGAGGAGAAAAGCAGGGGAUCGCAAGACCUUGCGCUUUUGGAGCGGCCGAUGUCUGAUUAGCUAGUUGGUGAGGUAAAGGCUUACCAAGGCUUCGAUCAGUAGCUGGUCUGAGAGGACGACCAGCCACACUGGGACUGAGACACGGCCCAGACUCCUACGGGAGGCAGCAGUGGGGAAUUUUGGACAAUGGGGCAACCCUGAUCCAGCCAUGCCGCGUGAGUGAAGAAGGCCUUCGGGUUGUAAAGCUCUUUCAGCCGGAACGAAACGGUCACGGUUAAUAACUGUGAUCACUGACGGUACCGGAAGAAGAAG